UAUAACUUAGUGUAUGGUGCACGUAGGCCUUUGAAGCCCAAAGAUAGAGCUCGUCUCUCUCAGUUAUAA
rnacentral:tRNA from 1 species